rnacentral:tRNA from 1 species
AGUCUUUGUAGUAUACUCAAUACACUGGUCUUGUAAACCAGAAAAGGAGAAUUACCAACCUCCCUAAGACUC